GACUGUAUACCAUCACUGGUGAAAAUAACUUGUGUUCUGUCCUUUGUCAGCUACAUUCUCACAAAAACAUUUAUACUAAUAACUUACAGCACUGCCUCGACAAUAGCAUCACUUACAUUGAUUCACCUAAAGUAAACUAAGUUAUAACAUUGUUUUAAGGAAGAAUUAAAAUCAUGGACCGAAGAGGAUGACAACCAUUUAACCCUCAAGUUUGGUCCAGUGCCGUGUAGAUUACCAGGAGGCAUCAAGACGUGCAUCCUUCGACCAGUAGCCAGGUUUUCACCAGCAGCGACAGAAUGGCCAAGAGCAAGUUUCAGUACGUCUGUAACUUCGAGACAGACGACACCUGUCUGAAAAACUGUUACAUUGUGGUGCGGUUGGAUGGGAGGAACUUCCACAAGUUUUGCAGAGCAGCACAACUUCCUGAAGCCCAACGACGACAGAGCUCUGGUCUGAUUGACGUUCAGCGCCAGGUCCUGUC